AUGCAGAAUUUUGCAGAAUUCCCUGUGUCUUCCCCCGCAGAAUUGCUGCCACCAGAGGCCACCGGACUCCCCAAAGCCCAGCUCACAGUGAGGGAGCACCUAGCCUGGUGGGGCUGGAGGCUGCGUGCUCUGCUUGAUCCUCAUUCUCCUGGGGUUGGGAGAGGGACUGGGAGACCCAGCUCUGGCAAAGGGUGAGGAAGGGCAGGGCCAUGCCCCCUGACAGGACAAUAAAGAAGUUGGGGAUGGGGGGAGAGGUGGAAUAAAGGCUUUGGGGGUGCUGGUGUAUGGGCCGGUGAGUGCCCUGCAGCUCAGUUCUGUGGGGAGCAGGGUAUGGGUACUGGACUCUGGGGGCCUCAACACAGCCCCCUUCCCCAACACCUCCAACUGAAACCAGGUUGUCAUAGGGGUUUCUUUAAUUGUCUACUCCCGGGGGAAUCUUUUUUUGCUGUUGUCUGUAUUGUUAAUAUUCUUCUUGACAGGUAUUUUGAAAUAAAUUACUAAAAUUGAAA